AGCGAACGCUGGCGGCAGGCCUAAAACAUGCAAGUCGAACGCCUGUAGCAAUACAGGAGUGGCAGACGGGUGAGUAACACGUGGGAACGUACCCUUUGGUUCGGAACAACACAGGGAAACUUGUGCUAAUACCGGAUAAGCCCUUACGGGGAAAGAUUUAUCGCCAGAGGAUCGGCCCGCGUCUGAUUAGCUUGUUGGUGAGGUAACGGCUCACCAAGGCUACGAUCAGUAGCNGGUCUGAGAGGAUGAUCAGCCACACUGGGACUGAGACACGGCCCAGACUCCUACGGGAGGCAGCAGUUAGGAAUCUUGGACAAUGGGCGCAAGCCUGAUCCAGCCAUGCCGCGUGAGUGAUGAAGGCCUUAGGGUUGUAAAGCUCUUUCAGCGGGGAAGAUAAUGACGGUACCCGCAGAAGAAGCCCCGGCUAACUUCGUGCCAGCAGCCGCCGU
rnacentral:rRNA from 1 species